UAUUAUUCUCAUUCCAUUUUUGCUCCUUCCUUUCCUACUCAAGAUAUUUGAGGCAUGAGCAAUCUGUGACUCUAAUUAAGGGGGUGACAGCCCCAACCAGGCCACCAUGCAGGCUUAUAAUCCACUCAUACACCCAGCUUUCUCCAUAAUGGCUUUAUUCUUUUCCUCCAAGGUUCAAAAUCACCAUGACUUCUCCCCCACAAAAAAAAAAAAAAAAAGAAAAAGAAAACUGACUCUGAAUCAUAAAUCCUGGCUCCCAAAUAUUGGCCAUAAUUGGGUAGGUGAGAUGUAUCUUGUAUGUCUGGGUGGAAGAGGCUCCUUUCUCCCUGGUGAUUCAUUUUCAGAACACACGGCCAUCCUUCCAAUGGCUUUGAGUUUCACGUCACCACCGGAAAGACCUGCCAGUUUCUUCCUGUUUGUGUGCCUGUCCACUGCCAUCAUGCUACUCCCAGGACUAUGGCUUCUGGGCACUCACUCACCCUUCAACAUGGCUUGUUCACUCCAGUUCUCCCUUUCCAAAUGUUCUCAAUCCCCUGGGCUGUGCGCCAAGGGGGAUUCAGCCCUUGCCCACCGGCUAUGGUCUGAAUGUUUGUGUCUUCCCCAGAUUAAUAUGUUGAAAUUUAAUCACAAAUGUGAUGGUGUAAUAAGGUGGGGACUUUGGGACUUUAUUAGGUCAUGGAGGGGGAGCCUCAUAAAAAAGGCUGCCUUGCCCCCUCCAUCGUGUAAAUCACCAUCUGUGAACCAGGAAAUGGGCCCUCACCAGACACCGAAUCUGCCGGUUCCUUGAUCUCGGACUUCCCAGUCUCCAGAACUGUGGGAAACACAUUUCUGUUGUUUAUGAGCCACCCAGUUUAAGGUAUUUUGUUAUAGCAGCCCAGAUGGACUAGGCCACCACCAUAGUCAGGGAAGAGCUGGCUGAUUUGUGCGUGUCUGCGCUGUGUCCCAAUGAAAGCACAAUAAUCAAUGAACAUUGAUUCUGCAAUCGAUGUUUGAAGGUCAAAGGAGUUGGGAAAGGGGGUCUCCUGAAGCCAAGGAAAAGCAUUGUACUCCCCAAAACUGUGCCAGCCAGGUUAACUUUUUGCGAGAUGCUACAGAUUGAGAUGCUUUAGUUUUACUUCUGGCUCUUUAAGCCCUACUCAAGCUCUAAUUUUGAUAUCUCGUUCUAGACGCCUUAGUUUGGGCCCCUCCCAGGCUCCCUUCUGUUUUUGUUCUUUUUUUCUAACAUCAUCCUUGGCUUUUCUUCUCCUUUAGGUUUGAUCUCCUGUCUCUUGGGUUGAGAAACCAUCCCCUCUGACUCCUGGCCCCCUGUGACCCCUCCAAAGCCCCCUGUACAGGUCUUUGGCCACACAGAGAUUCAACAGUCUAAUAAUCUAAAAUUGUAAAUGCCACAAUUUGUGUGCGUGUUUACUGUGUCUCAGUUUUGAGUUCUUUUUGAAAUCUUUUAGUUAUUCCAGAAGGGAUAGGAUAAAGAGAAGAAAUCAGUUAUACUCCCAGUGGCCAGGCAUGGUAGGGCAGAAAGAGUGUUGACACUCACUACCCCUGCAGGGGGAGAGGGCAGAGGACCCAGGUUAACUACCCAGAGAUGAGAUGGAUCCUGGUCUAACUCAGGCCCUGGGAUACCUGCACCAAUUGCUCUCAGCAGGUCGAGACAUCACAGAAGAAGAGAAGACAUGUCAACUCUCUACAAUAGUGUCUUAGCCCUGGAGAUACUAUUGGAGAGUGACAACAGACAGCAAACAGGGUUCUAUUCAUAGUGGCCAUGGUUUCCCCAAGCAGAGAACAUAUCCAACCAAAGGGACUUCAGCAAAGCUUUUCCUAAUCUGUGCUCUGAAAUGGCUAAGUAGAAGAGAGCUAUCUAGAGUGUAUGAGGAUGUCUUUAAAGUCAACCUUGCAAUAACUAUUGCAUGCAGACUGUAAUUGUGGGCUAAAAGUGAAGGCUGUUUUGUUAGGUGAGACCCUUCCAGAGCACCUCCUGCAUAUGUACACACAUUCUCUCUCUCUCUGUCUCACACACACACACACACACACCUCCCCCCACAACACACACACACACACACACACACACAACCUCCCCCCACAACACACACACACACACACACACACACACACCUCCCCCCACAACCCACACACACAAAACCAACCCCAUCCCAGGGAACCCAACAGUCAUAGAUCUCAUCUGGAGUCCAACUCCUAAUCCAGGUGUCAUGAUCAUCACGUGAGAGAUAGCAGAAUCUCCACCAAUUUUGGAAAGAACUACUCAAGUGUUUUCUAAAAG
rnacentral:lncRNA from 1 species